UGAGCUAAAUUCACUACAACUGUCUCACAAAUUAAUUAGGUUGAACAGCUGUCAGUUGUUAAAUUUAAGUACACAAUUAGACUAU